UCUCAGUUCGGACUGUGGUCUGCAACUCGACCACACGAAGCUGGAAUCGCUAGUAAUCGCGAAUCAGCAUGUCGCGGUGAAUACGUUCCCGGGUCUUGUACACACCGCCCGUCACACCAUGGGAGUCAGCAACGCCCGAAGUCAGUGACCUAACCGAGNGGAAGGAGCUGCCGAAGGCGGGGCAGGUAACUGGGGUGAAGUCGUAACAAGGUAGC
rnacentral:rRNA from 1 species